GGUUGCGUAGUGUAGUGGUUAUCACUCCAGAUUUUGACUCACAUCAACAUUCUGGUAACCCCGGUUCGAGCCCGGGCGCGACCU
rnacentral:tRNA from 2 species